rnacentral:rRNA from 1 species
AUGGACCUAGCAAAGCCAACGGCAACUGCAUAUCUUAGGAGGUGGCACACUAGGUUGUGGUCUAGGAGUCAGUUCUCAACAAUUUCCAAGGUGGAUUAUGUUACAAACAACUUGGCUGAGUGCUUCAAUAAUUGGAUUAAGCAUCACAAGUCCUUGAACUUGGAUGACUUCUUUGAUAAGGUUAAGCAGAUGAUUAUGAUCAUGUGGAACCAAAGGAGGAAAGUAGCAAGGAAGUUGGUUGGGUUGAUUCUUCCCCACAUAAUUAAGAAGUUGAAUGCAAAGACUAGAGAAUUAAACUUGGAGGUGGUAGAAAGCUCAGAAGAAGUCGCUGAAGUGACAGCAUUGGGAGGCAGCGGCUUUAGGUUUGUGGUCAACUUGCUUGACAGGACAUGUUCUUGUAGACAAUGGCAAGUUUCUGGCCUUCCUUGCAAGCAUGGUCUAGCAUUUAUCACAUCUCUUAUCAAUGCACACAUACAGAAUUAUGUGGACUUGUAUUACUCCAUUGACAAAUUUAGAGCAGCCUAUGAGCAACUAAUUCCUGCCAUGGUUGACAAGAACCAAUGGCCUAAAUCUGACCAUGGAUUCUUCAUGUUUCCACCGCUACUAAAAUCCACGGCGGGUAGGCAUAAAACUGAGAGGUAUAAAGGCUGCAGUGAGAAGAAAAGAAAAGGCGGCCAACACUUAUGCCCUAUUUGUAAGGACUAUGGGCAUCAUUGGCAUAAAUGCAAGAAGGGUAACCCAGAUGACAUUGCUGCUAUUUUAGCUGUGAGAGGACCACCAAAGAAGAGGGCAAAGACCACCAAAGCAUCAAUUGUGCCUUACGAGGAUGAUGCUCCAGCAGCCUCUAUGUGCUUUCCGCCAAGCCAAAGCUUGGAACCUACAACUACGAAAAAGAGAAAACAUGAUAACUCAAUUACUGGAGCAUCAAAAAGCCAAAUGUUGGAGAAAACAACUAAGGAAAAAGGGAAAGGGAGUAAAUCUGGAUCCGGAGUAGCAAAAAGAUCAACAACUCAGCCCAUUUGUGUGGCCAACAAGAAAGCAUCUGUUGUUUUGAAAUUACAUGCCAAAAGAAAAAGCAAAGAGGUUGCUGAUAAGUUGCCACACCUUCCCAUGGUGCCACAUGACAACCCUGCAAUGGGCACACGAAGCAAAAAAAUGAAUCCUUCCAGCCCUGCAAUGAGCACACGAAGCAAAAGGAGACUUAGCUUGUGA